CAGGCGGCUGCUUACCAUGCAAGUCGCACGAGAACGCUUCAGCUUGCUGGAGCUAGUAAAGUGGCGCACGGGUGAGUAACGCGUGGGUAAUCUACCUCCGAAUUGGGGAUAACGUUGCGAAAGCGACGCUAAUACCGGAUAAUAUCUUCUUGACUUCGGUCUUGGGGAUCAAAGGUGGCCUCUACAUGUAAGCUACUGUUUGGAGAUGAGCCCGCGUCCCAUUAGCUUGUUGGCGGGGUAACGGCCCACCAAGGCUUCGAUGGGUAGCUGGUCUGAGAGGAUGAUCAGCCACACUGGAACUGGAACACGGUCCAGACUCCUACGGGAGGCAGCAGUGAGGAAUUUUGCGCAAUGGGGGAAACCCUGACGCAGCAACGCCGCGUGAGUGAUGAAGGCUUUCGGGUCGUAAAGCUCUGUCAAGUGGGAAGAACCGCCGAGGGGUUAACAUCCUCUUGGUCUGACGGUACCACUGAAGGAAGCACCGGCUAACUCCGUGCCAGCAGCCGCGGUAAUACGGGGGGUGCAAGCGUUAUUCGGAUUUACUGGGCGUAAAGCGCGCGUAGGCGGCCGUUUAAGUCAGAUGUGAAAGCCCGGGGCUCAACCCCGGAAGUGCAUUUGAUACUAUUCGGCUUGAGUAUGGGAGAGGGAAGUGGAAUUCCUGGUGUAGAGGUGAAAUUCGUAGAUAUCAGGAGGAACACCGGUGGCGAAGGCGACUUCCUGGACCAAUACUGACGCUGAGGCGCGAAAGGCGUGGGGAGCAAACAGGAUUAGAUACCCUGGUAGUCCACGCAGUAAACGGUGAUCACUAAGUGUAGCGGGU
rnacentral:rRNA from 2 species